UUAAAUUGAAGAGUUUGAUCAUGGCUCAGAUUGAACGCUGGCGGCAGGCCUAACACAUGCAAGUCGAACGGUAACAGGAAGAAGCUUGCUUCUUUGCUGACGAGUGGCGGACGGGGGAGUAAUGUCUGG
rnacentral:rRNA from 1 species